CUCUAACAUGCCCAACAGAAUGUGACUUACAAGCCAGCCUCAAAGUUGGGUUGACAAUAUUAACACCAUGGAGGCCAGUCCCUUUGAUUUUGAAGUUCUUGAGAAAUUCAGUAUUGAAAAACUGAAAAUCAAUUAAUGGAAAGGAUGUCUUACUGUCAAAUACUACUAGUUGGUGGCUUUGGUUUCUAGGUGAUGAGUUACCUCCCUUUCUCUGUUCUUAAUGACAAGGUUAAAUUGGUUGCUAAAAUGGCAAUGAAAACCGAGGGUGGGUAACAGGGACAAUGGGAAUGGCUCAAGAGGUUUAGUGUAGGAUUACUGAAAGCCCUUGGUGAUAAAGAGGAUGCAUUAUAGAUGUUCUGUGCAUUCAGUCAUGUUUAAGUCAACAUGUCCGAUGACUUGGAUAAUGUGUUGUGACAAAACGUCAUGCUUUACGUCAGUUUGUGACAUGACACUUUUGUGUGUGAUGUAACGCUAUUUCCAUGGUUUUGACAUAAAUUACGAUCUU